AACGAACGCUGGCGGCGUGCCUAACACAUGCAAGUCGAACGGGGUGAGGUAGCUUGCUAUUUCAUCUAGUGGCGCACGGGUGAGUAACGCGUGGAUAAUCUGCCCGAUGCUCAGGAAUAACAUCUCGAAAGGGGUGCUAAUACCUGAUAAGCCCACGGACUCUUCGGAGUUUGCGGGAAAAGGGGGGGACCUUCGGGCCUCCCGACAUCGGAUGAGUCCGCGUCCCAUUAGCUAGUUGGUGGGGUAAAGGCCUACCAAGGCGACGAUGGGUAGCUGGUCUGAGAGAAUGAUCAGCCACACUGGAACUGAGAAACGGUCCAGAUUCCUACGGGAGGCAGCAGUGGAGAAUUUUGCGCAAGGGGGGGAACCCUGACGCAGCAACGCCGGGUGAGUGAUGAAGGCCCUUGGGUCGUAAAGCUCUGUCAGGGGGAAAGAAAGGCGGGUGGCUAAUAUCCAUUCCGCUUGACGGUACCCUCAAAGGAAGCACCGGCCAACUACGUGCCAGCCGCCGCCGCCGUAA
rnacentral:rRNA from 1 species